CAAUUUGACAAUGUUGAUUGUAACAAUCAGAAUAUUUGAAUUAGGAGCAUGCGCAUAACUUGUUAUUAUAUUGACCUAACCUAUAAAUUUUUCUGUAUUUUAAUGUUCCAAGAGAAAAACAUUUGAUGUCCCAUUCGUUAAAAAUCUUGAAACGUAAUCUCUACGGAAGUUUGUGAUAGUCUUGGGUAAUCUCUGAUUAACAGUAGCGCCUACAGGCAAUUGUGUUUUUUGUUUUUGUUGUUAGUUCUGAGGUUGUUUUCUUUAAGACUAUAAUGUCGAAUCAAGUUACUUAUACACUCGAUCAAAAAUAUCACAUCGUUGUCUGGAGCCACAAGGGAUAUUCUUAUAAACAGAUAAAUGAUUUAUUUUCUAAAAUGUUUGAAAAUAAACCUGCUCCAUCACCAAAUACAAUCCAGAGAAUUUUGGAGAAUUUACGCCGAUACGGAUGUUUAGUCCCUAAAAACCACAAAAGAGAACGGAAAGUGAGACCGAUAGAUCCAGAACGUGAACGACGCAAUAGAAGGAUCUGUGAAUGUGUAGAGGCGAAUCCAACACUUUCACUUAAGGAAAUUGCAAAAGAAGUAGGAACAUCUAGUGUAACUGUGGCUAAAGUUCUGAGGACUAACAAAUAUCAACAAUACAAAAUUGAUGAAUCCAAGGGGCUAAUGUUACUUCCAGUACGUCCAAAAGCAAAAUGCAAACUAGAAAAUAUCAUAAAAUCAGAACCUGAUGAAAUUACACAAACGACUGAAACUACUAGAUCCACAAACCAUCAAGAAACUACUUCAUCAGGUACAAAGGAAGUGGUAGAUUCAGAUAAAAAGUAAUUUUUUGUUGUAUGUGUCUCUGAGAGGUCAUAUCACUGUAAAAAAGUACUUUUGAUUAUAGAUUUAUCAUGACUAAGGAAACCCCUAAUGUUGCGUCAAUGAAAUAGACGGAUUACACAAUACUUGGGGAGUCCCCAGUGAGUGGGACAGACAAGAAAUCUUAUAAUAGGUUUUGGACCAACUAUAUGGUUGUAUUCAGCUAAUUAGUACCUGUAUUCAGUUAUUAUAUUUAUAUCAUAUAGUACCAUAAGAAAUCAUUUAUAUUAAUUCUAUUAAAAGAUUGAUUAUUAAAAAGAAGUUGAAAACUGAACUAUAUUUAUAACUUCAUCAUCAAAACAUUGUUAAAAAUUAUGCUAUACAAAGGUUCUAAUUGUUAAUGAGUUAGUUAUUUGUUAAAGGUAUUACUAUGUAACAUGUCUUGACCAAAGUAAUAAUAAACUUACUUUACAAAUUAUCAAAACAAUACCAUAAAAGUUAAAAUAAAAGGCGUGAGUCUCAAGGGAGCCAACAGGUCCAAAAAAUAUUAUCUAUCUCUCCUCUAUUUAUUAUCUUUUAUUAGAAAACAUACAAAACUACAAUGGGCCAGAUGAUGAUUAAUAGUAUUAAUCUGAAAGAAUACAAGUUAUUGAAGGAUAUUUUCUGAUUGCCACUUUUUAACUUGUUUUAGUCUUUUCAAUUUUAUAUAUUUUUAAAGGUCCCAACUAGUGUAUUAAUAUAUUUUUCUUUAUUGCUCAUAUUAUCUUAUUACUAUUGUGAUUCUUAUGUGAUAUUUAUUUAUCUUGUUAUCGCUUUAUUAUUUAUGAUAAUAAAUAUUAUUUAAAUAAAAAAAUUGAUUUGUAAUUGGACCAGGGAAAUCAACUCUUAUUGACUAUGUUGAAUUUAAACGGUGGUCGUACAAGGAGUAAUGUUGAACGCUCUGGUCGCCCAAUUUGGGCACUUGUUACGGAAAACACAAAAAAUAUUCAUAAAAUAGUUUUAAAAGACUGUAAAAUACAACCGAAACCGAAUGUUGAUAUAUGUUAUAUGUCCUUCUUCAGAAAUGUCCAUUCUGUUACUGUGUACUGUAGGAAGUGUGGAUGUCAGAAAAGUCGAAGCUUUUAAAGAUGUAGGAAUCUUCGCCUUCGAUUCAUCACAUAGAACUCGAAUUCAACGACAUAGAACUACUUAAAUCCCUCUACUAAGCUUUUGUGAUGAGUCUAAUCUGGAUACCAUAUGAAUCACACUCUACAUGUCUAGAUCGCAUCAAAAGAAAAUUUAUUAAUCACAUCUGGAAUAACCUACAUGGUACCUAUUUAACAUCCCUAAAAACUAGGAGGGACUCACGUGCAAUCUUCUUACAUAAAUUAAUCAACCACGCCAUUAACUGCCUUUAUCUUCUUUCAAAAUUAUCAUUCUGAAUUGUGUAUUUGUGAUGUGUCAUAAUACGAAGAGGCCUUUAUUUAUAUACAUAUUUACUAUUUUGUUUUUUUGUAAUUUUGUACUGUUAUGAGAGGUUUCAGUGUUGGGCGAAUAAAUUAUUUAUUUAUUAACCAAA